AAGAUUACGUCACGCUAUAAUGGAAUAUAACUCUGUAAUAUGGUCUCCGUACUACGCAGUUCACUGUGAUCGCUUAGAAAGCGUACAAAGGAAAUUCAUACGAAUCUUAUCUUUUCGCUAUCACUUCGGCCAUAGACGCACACCUUACCAUGACAGACUAAAACACUUUGGGUUGAAAACUCUAGAAUUUCGUCGGAAGUAUUACCAUUUGAUAUCUUUACAUAGGAUUAUUCACUCCAAAAUAGAUUCUCCCGUAUUACUAUCUUUGAUUAAUAUUAAUUUUAAUGUCCGAUUA